ncrna:unclassified sequences RT-14 RNA
CUCUAAUACAAUUCCAGAUUAUAUAUUUUAAGGAAUAUAUACAGCGAAAGUAUUUAGUAUUAAAGAGAUUUACUCCUUCCUAAUUUAGGUAAAAAUGUAUCAGCAAAUUAUGUAUUAGUAUGCUAAGCAGAAUAUACAUAAUUUGU